GAUGAACGCUAGCUACAGGCUUAACACAUGCAAGUCGAGGGGAAACGACAUCGAAAGCUUGCUUUUGAUGGGCGUCGACCGGCGCACGGGUGAGUAACGCGUAUCCAACCUGCCCAUCACUUGGGGAUAACCUUGCGAAAGUAAGACUAAUACCCAAUGAUAUCUCUAGAAGACAUCUGAAAGAGAUUAAAGAUUUAUCGGUGAUGGAUGGGGAUGCGUCUGAUUAGCUUGUUGGCGGGGUAACGGCCCACCAAGGCAACGAUCAGUAGGGGUUCUGAGAGGAAGGUCCCCCACAUUGGAACUGAGACACGGUCCAAACUCCUACGGGAGGCAGCAGUGAGGAAUAGUGAUCAAUGGGCGAGAGCCUGAACCAGCCAAGUAGCGUGCAGGAAGACGGCCCUAUGGGUUGUAAACUGCUUUUAGAAGGGAAUAAAGUGAGAGUCGUGACUCUUUUUGUAUGUACCUUAUGAAUAAGGACCGGCUAAUUCCGUG
rnacentral:rRNA from 1 species